GACGAACGCUGGCGGCGUGCUUAACACAUGCAAGUCGAACGGAAAGGCCCUGCUUUUGUGGGGUGCUCGAGUGGCGAACGGGUGAGUAACACGUGAGUAACCUGCCCUUGACUUUGGGAUAACUUCAGGAAACUGGGGCUAAUACCGGAUAGGAGCUCCUGCUGCAUGGUGGGGGUUGGAAAGUUUCGGCGGUUGGGGAUGGACUCGCGGCUUAUCAGCUUGUUGGUGGGGUAGUGGCUUACCAAGGCUUUGACGGGUAGCCGGCCUGAGAGGGUGACCGGCCACAUUGGGACUGAGAUACGGCCCAGACUCCUACGGGAGGCAGCAGUGGGGAAUAUUGCACAAUGGGCUGAAGCCUGAUGCAGCAACGCCGCGUGCCGGAUGACGGCCUUCGGGUUGUAAACCGCUUUCGCCUGUGACGAAGCGUGAGUGACGGUAAUGGGUAAAGAAGCACCGGCUAACUACGUG
rnacentral:rRNA from 1 species